rnacentral:rRNA from 1 species
UGCCAGCAGCCGCGGUAAUACGAAGGGGGCUAGCGUUGUUCGGAAUAACUGGGCGUAAAGCGCACGUAGGCGGAUUGUUAAGUUAGGGGUGAAAUCCCAGGGCUCAACCCUGGAACUGCCUCUGAUACUGGCAAUCUAGAGUUCGAGAGAGGUGAGUGGAAUUCCAAGUGUAGAGGUGAAAUUCGUAGAUAUUUGGAGGAACACCAGUGGCGAAGGCGGCUUUCUGGACCGAUACUGACGCUGAGACGCGAAAGCGUGGGGAGCAAACAGGAUUAGAUA